GAUGAACGCUGGCGGCGUGCCUAAUACAUGCAAGUAGAACGCUGAAGGAGGAGCUUGCUCUUCUGGAUGAGUUGCGAACGGGUGAGUAACGCGUAGGUAACCUGCCUGGUAGCGGGGGAUAACUAUUGGAAACGAUAGCUAAUACCGCAUGACAACAGUUAUUGCAUGAUAACUGUUUAAAAGGGGCAACUGCUCCACUACCAGAUGGACCUGCGUUGUAUUAGCUAGUUGGUGAGGUAACGGCUCACCAAGGCGACGAUACAUAGCCGACCUGAGAGGGUGAUCGGCCACACUGGGAAUGGGACACGGCCCAGACUCCUACGGGAGGCAGCAGUAGGGAAUCUUCGGCAAUGGACGGAAGUCUGACCGAGCAACGCCGCGUGAGUGAAGAAGGUUUUCGGAUCGUAAAGCUCUGUUGUAAGAGAAGAACGAGUGUGAGAGUGGAAAGUUCACACUGUGACGGUAUCUUACCAGAAAGGGACGGCUAACUACGUG
rnacentral:rRNA from 1 species